GUCGACCUCUGAUCAGACGAGACUACCCCCUGAAUUUA
rnacentral:rRNA from 1 species